rnacentral:rRNA from 1 species
GAUGAACGCUGGCGGUAUGCUUAACACAUGCAAGUCGUACGAAGUGCGAUGGGGUUUACUCUAUCGUAUGGCAGUGGCGGACGGGUGCGUAACGCGUAAGAACUUACCUUUUGGCGAGGGACAACCGCGGGAAACUGCGGCUAAUACCUCAUAGAGCUGAGGAGCGAAAGGUGAAAACCACCAAAAGAGAGGCUUGCGUCUGAUUAGCUAGUUGGUGAGGGUAAUGGCCUCCCAAGGCGACGAUCAGUAGCUGGUCUGAGAGGAUGAUCAGCCACACUGGAACUGAGACACGGUCCAGACUCCUACGGGAGGCAGCAGUGAGGAAUUUUCCGCAAUGGGCGCAAGCCUGACGGAGCAAUACCGCGUGGAGGAGGAAGGCCCGUGGGUCGUAAACUCCUUUUCUCAGAGAAGAACACAAUGACGGUAUCUGA